rnacentral:rRNA from 1 species
GACGAACGCUGGCGGCGUGCCUAAUACAUGCAAGUAGAACGCUGAAGGAGGAGCUUGCUUCCCUGGAUGAGUUGCGAACGGGUGAGUAACGCGUAGGUAACCUGCCUGGUAGCGGGGGAUAACUAUUGGAAACGAUAGCUAAUACCGCAUAAGAGUAGAUGUUGCAUGACAUUUGCUUAAAAGGUGCAAUUGCAUCACUACCAGUUGGACCUGCGUUGUAUUAGCUAGUUGGUGGGGUAACGGCUCACCAAGGCGACGAUACAUAGCCGACCUGAUGGGGUGAUUGGCCACCCUGGGACGGAGGCACGGCCCAGACUUCUACGGGGGGGAGCAGUAGGGAAUCUUCGGCAAUGGACGGAAAUCUGACCGAACAACGCCGGGUGAGUGAAGAAGGGUUUCGGAUCGUAAAGCUCUGUUGUAAGAGAAGAACGAGUGUGAGAGUGGAAUGUUCACACUGUGACGGUAUCUUACCAGAAAGGGACGGCUAACUACGUG